rnacentral:rRNA from 1 species
UGGGGAAUAUUGCACAAUGGGCGCAAGCCUGAUGCAGCAACGCCGCGUGAGGGACGACGGCCUUCGGGUUGUAAACCUCUUUUAGUAGGGAAGAAGCGAAAGUGACGGUACCUGCAGAAAAAGCACCGGCUAACUACGUGCCAGCAGCCGCGGUAAUACGUAGGGUGCGAGCGUUGUCCGGAAUUAUUGGGCGUAAAGAGCUCGUAGGCGGUCUGUCGCGUCUGCUGUGAAAACCCGAGGCUCAACCUCGGGCCUGCAGUGGGUACGGGCAGACUAGAGUGCGGUAGGGGAGAAUGGAAUUCCUGGUGUAGCGGUGGAAUGCGCAGAUAUCAGGAGGAACACCGAUGGCGAAGGCAGUUCUCUGGGCCGUAACUGACGCUGAGGAGCGAAAGCGUGGGGAGCGAACAGGAUUAGAUACCCUGGUAGUCCACGCCGUAAACGUUGGGCGCUAGAUGUGGGGACCAUUCCACGGUUUCCGUGUCGCAGCUAACGCAUUAAGCGCCCCGCCUGGGGAGUACGGCCGCAAGGCUAAAACUCAAAGGAAUUGACGGGGUCAUAGCUGUUCCU